GAUGGCCUGGGUGGAGGCUCAACCGCAGCGGGAGAAGGAGGGUAAGCCAGAAGGGAUGAAAGGACAUGUGUCGUGACGGUCCGAAGCAGAGGCUGACCUCGGGGUGGUGGUUUAGAGGUCUGUAAACCUAGCACUCCGGAGGCGGAGACAGGAGGAUUUGCUGAGUGUUGGGCCAGUCACUGAUACAAGUUUGAGGAGACCGGAGGCGGAGACAGGAUUGCUGCAGCCAGGGAUAACAGACUUCUCAGUAUAGCAGGAGAAAAAGGAAACCUUGUCAAGGAAAUAGAAAACUAACACAUAGGAAGACGGUAGGAAAAGCUGAAAAAUGAAAUUAUCUUAACAAAAGUAAACUAGGAUUCUAUAACAAUCUCUAAAAA
rnacentral:lncRNA from 1 species